UACGUAGGGGGCAAGCGUUGUCCGGAUUUAUUGGGCGUAAAGAGCGUGUAGGCGGCUUGGUAGGUCUUGCGUCAAAACCUGAGGCUCAACCUCAGUUCGCGUGGGAAACCAUCUAGCUAGAGCCCGGAAGAGGAGAACGGAAUUCCCAGUGUAGCGGUGAAAUGCGCAGAUAUUGGGAAGAACACCAGUGGCGAAGGCGGUUCUCUGGGACGGUACUGACGCUGAGACGGCGAAAGCGUGGGGAGCGAACAGGA
rnacentral:rRNA from 1 species